rnacentral:rRNA from 1 species
UACAGAGGGGGCGAGCGUUGUUCGGAAUUACUGGGCGUAAAGGGCGCGUAGGCGGCCCGCUAAGUCGAACGUGAAAUCCCCAGGCUCAACCUGGGAACUGCGUCCGAUACUGGCAGGCUUGAAUCCGGGAGAGGGAUGUGGAAUUCCAGGUGUAGCGGUGAAAUGCGUAGAUAUCUGGAGGAACACCGGUGGCGAAAGCGCCUUGCUGGGUCUGCACUGACACUGAGGGACGAAAGCUAGGGGAGCGAAAGGG